GUCGAACGGAAAGGCCCUGCUUGCAGGGUACUCGAGUGGCGAACGGGUGAGUAACACGUGGGUGAUCUGCCCUGCACUUCGGGAUAAGCUUGGGAAACUGGGUCUAAUACCGGAUAGGAGCCAUCUUUAGAUGUGGUGGUUGGAAAGUUUUUUCGGUGUAGGAUGAGCUCGCGGCCUAUCAGCUUGUUGGUGGGGUAAUGGCCUACCAAGGCGGCGACGGGUAGCCGGCCUGAGAGGGUGUACGGCCACAUUGGGACUGAGAUACGGCCCAGACUCCUACGGGAGGCAGCAGUGGGGAAUAUUGCACAAUGGGCGCAAGCCUGAUGCAGCGACGCCGCGUGGGGGAUGAAGGCCUUCGGGUUGUAAACUCCUUUCGCUAGGGACGAAGCUUUGUUGUGACGGUACCUAGAUAAGAAGCACCGGCUAACUACGCGCCAGCAGCCGCGGUAAUACGUAGGGUGCAAGCGUUGUCCGGAAUUACUGGGCGUAAAGGGCUCGUAGGUGGUUUGUCGCGUCGUCUGUGAAAUUCUGGGGCUUAACUCCGGGCGUGCAGGCGAUACGGGCAUAACUUGAGUGCUGUAGGGGUAACUGGAAUUCCUGGUGUAGCGGUGAAAUGCGCAGAUAUCAGGAGGAACACCGAUGGCGAAGGCAGGUUACUGGGCAGUUACUGACGCUGAGGAGCGAAAGC
rnacentral:rRNA from 1 species